AAGUCGUAACAAGGUUUCCGUAGGUGAACCUGCGGAAGGAUCAUUAAAGGGUGAGGGUCUCUCAGGCCCGACCGUCCCAACCCUUUGAUUACUGAACCUCUGUUGCUUCGGUGGACCCGCCUUCACCGGCCGCCCGGAGGACCGCCGCGAGGCAUCCUCUGGUCCGCGUCCGCCGAUAGCCAACCUAUUAAACUCUUGAAUAACCAUGUCGUAUGUCUAAGUCAAUGAUAAAUUAAGCAAA
rnacentral:misc_RNA from 1 species